GAACACAAAAUGGCGACACGUGGUUAGCAUUCGUCGCCAACGAGAAAUUGGGGUCGGCCCGAAAGCUCUAGAAUGCACCCCUCUUCCUCCCCGGGGCCUUCCACCUCCGCGAGUUUUAUGACUUAAAAAAGCCCACAGGCUGGUCUGAAGAGGAAGACAAACAUAAAGAUGAAGUGCUUAAUUCAAGGUCACACAAUGUCGGGGAUGGACCUCCAGAUUUCCUUACUGGUGAGACGUGGUCUUGUAACACAGUGGUUAAGAAUGUGACUUUGGAGCCAGCCUGCUAGGGGCUGAAUUCUGACUCAGCCAUUUACUAACUGUGUGACCUUAGGUGGAGUCUCACUCUGUAGCCCAAGCUGGAGUGGCGUGAUCUCGACUCACUGCAACCUCCGCCUCCUGGGAUCAAGUGAUUCUCGUGCCUCAGCCUCCUGAGUAGCCGGGACUACAGGUCACAGAAUUUUCCACACUCCUUGACAGAGGUGCUUAACCCUUAUCCAUCAGCAUUCUCAGACAGCACCUCCGGUUAGGGACAGUAUCUGACCGUCCGACAUCCCUGCAGCCCCCAUGUGUCACACAGACUCAGCCUCAGGUAGAUGGUUUCCGUAGAUGGUGGCUUUCUUUGGACCCUUGACAUCAACCAGUUACUAUUUGCAGGGCCACACAUAACAAAUAGAAGCAGAGCAAGCCCUGGAACUCCUGCCUGACAGUGACACGACGACAGAAACAUCUUACCAGUCAGAGGACCAUGAGAAAUAGAUUCAAGGAGCAUUCCACGUGCAAGUGAGUCUUGGCCCCAUCUGCCUUUGGAUUUUAGCCGUGAACUGGAAGGUAUUGGAAAGAAGACCCUCAGAAAUAGCUUAAUCAAAAUCCCUGCGUCUGAACCAAGUGCCUUAUUUCUCUGUGGGCCUCAAGCUUCGCUGACAUCUGUGGAGCACACUGUCCUAACAGGAGUGCUGUCUGAUUUCCCAACGCUCUGCAAAACAAACAGCCUGGAAGGGUGGCUGGUGGAAGGUGGUUUUUAGAGAGAGACUUGUAGAUAACAGGAAAGUGAAGGCUGUAAGGAAGGUUGUAAUUAAACAGCACAUGGAAACACAAUCACAUUAUUGUCCCAUUCCAUAGGGAUAAUGAUGACCACUUCAGUGGGAAAAGGAGAGGUUUUAAGUCAUUAGGGACUAUGGGCCACCUUUUA
rnacentral:lncRNA from 1 species